rnacentral:rRNA from 1 species
UACGGGGGGGGCAAGCGUUGUUCGGAAUUACUGGGCGUAAAGGGCUCGUAGGCGGCCAACUAAGUCGGAUGUGAAAUCCCCAGGCUUAACCUGGGAACUGCAUCCGAUACUGGAUGGCUUGAAUCCGGGAGAGGGAUGCGGAAUUCCAGGUGUAGCGGUGAAAUGCGUAGAUAUCCGGAGGAACACCGGUGGCGAAGGCGGCUUCCUGGACCGAUACUGACGCUGAGGCGCGAAAGCUAGGGGAGCAAACGGG